rnacentral:lncRNA from 1 species
AAAUUUGUGCUAACAAAGUUACAAUAAAAAUUUUACUUUUUAGGGAUUUUUUUUUAUUUUUUAUCAAAUACCCUUUUAUGAUUCAUACUUUGAUUCUUCACAACUAUCAAACUAUGGUUAAUCAACAAGAAAGUUUGAUUUUGCUAUUACAAUUUUCUACUUGCUUUUUCCAAAAAAAAAAAAAAAAAUUAGUUAGAAGACAUUUAUGUUCACACAUUCUCAC